UACGAAGGGGGCAAGCGUUGUUCGGAUUUACUGGGCGUAAAGGGCGCGUAGGCGGACUUGCAAGUCAGAGGUGAAAGCCCUGGGCUCAACCCGGGAAUGGCCUUUGAGACUGCGAGUCUUGAGUGCGGGAGAGGGUGGCGGAAUACCCAGUGUAGAGGUGAAAUUCGUAGAUAUUGGGUAGAACACCGGUGGCGAAGGCGGCCACCUGGCCCGCAACUGACGCUGAGGCGCGAAAGCGUGGGGAGCAAACAGG
rnacentral:rRNA from 1 species